rnacentral:rRNA from 1 species
UACGGGGGGGGGCAAGCGUUGUUCGGAAUUACUGGACGUAAAGGGCUCGUAGGCGGCCAACUAAGUCGGACGUGAAAUCCCCAGGCUCAACCUGGGAACUGCGUCUGAUACUGGAUGGCUUGAAUCCGGAAGAGGCGAGUGGAACUCCUGGUGUAGCGGUGGAAUGCGCAGAUAUCAGGAAGAACACCAAUAGCGAAGGCAGCUCGCUGGGACGGUACUUGACGCUAAGGCGCGAAAGCGUGGGGAGCGAACAGG